rnacentral:rRNA from 1 species
UACGUAUGGUGCAAGCGUUAUCCGGAUUUACUGGGCGUAAAGGGAGCGCAGGCGGUGCGCCAAGUCUGAUGUGAAACCCCGGGGCUCAACCCCGGGCAUGCAUUGGAAACUGGCGGGCCGGAGUGCCGGAGAGGUAAGCGGAAUUCCUAGUGUAGCGGUGAAAUGCGUAGAUAUUAGGAGGAACACCAGUGGCGAAGGCGGCUUACUGGACGGCAACUGACGCUGAGGCUCGAAAGCGUGGGGAGCAAACAGG